GCCUAACACAUGCAAGUCGAACGGGACUUAGUGGAAAGCGGCUUCGGCCAAUGGAAGCUAAGUUUAGUGGCGAACGGGUGAGUAACGCGUGAGGAACCUGCCUUCCAGUGGGGGACAACAGUUGGAAACGACUGCUAAUACCGCAUAACAUAUUCGGACCGCAUGAUCUGAAUAUCAAAGCUUUAUGUGCUGGAAGAUGGCCUCGCGUCUGAUUAGCUAGUUGGUGGGGUAACGGCCUACCAAGGCGACGAUCAGUAGCCGGGCUGAGAGGAUGAACGGCCACAUUGGGACUGAGAUACGGCCCAGACUCCUACGGGAGUCAGCAGUGGGGAAUAUUGGGCAAUGGGGGAAACCCUGACCCAGCAACGCCGCGUGAAGGAAGAAGGCCUUCGGGUUGUAAACUUCUUUUACCAGGGACGAAGAACGUGACGGUACCUGGAGAAAAAGCAACGGCUAACUACGUGCCAGCCGCCGCGGUAAUAC
rnacentral:rRNA from 1 species